GAGGCAGAAGUCCAAGAAAAGUCGAAGAGGCAGAAGCCAUAGAAAAAAAUCAAAGAAAAAGUCGAAGAGGCAGAAGCCAUAGAAAAAGUCGAAGAAAAAUUCGAAGAGGCAGAAGCCUU